UGUUUCCCGAUUUUAAUAGGAGUUAAUGGUUUAUGUUGGUUGCUGUUUUAUAAGCAUUAUUAAUAUUCUGUUGGUAGUGAAAUGUUAUUCGUCUUUGUUGGUUUCUGGUUUUUCGAGAAAUGAAUUUAAUUCAUGCAUCUUAUUUAGAUUUAUUAUUUAUUUAUUAAGAUUUAAAUUGUUGUUAAGAUUAGGGGGGAUUAGCUCUCUUUUUUAAGUUUAUUAUAAUUUUGUUUGUUUCAAGGAUUUUUGUUGAUUUUAUAGUGAUUUUCUAUUUGAUUAUGUUAAAAUUUUAUUUUUUGUUUGUUGUAUUUUUUUAUAUUUAAUUUUAUAUUGAAAUGUUAUUUUUAAUUGUUUUUAUUUNGUAUUUAUUGUUGAAUUAGUAAAUUAUUUCUUAUUUUGUUGGUGUGUUUUAUUUGAUUUGUUAAUUUCUUCUUAGGAAUUAGGCAAGAAUUUUGUGUCCGCCUGUUUAACAAAAACAUCUUUUCUUGUUAGUUUUUGAAGUAUGGCCUGCCCACUGAAUUGUUUUGAAGGGCCGCGGUAUUUUGACCGUGCAAAGGUAGCAUAAUCAUUAGUUCUUUAAUUGUGAUCUGGAAUGAAUGGCUUGACGAGAUGCAUACUGUCUUAGAUUUUGUUGAAUCGAUUAUGUUGAAUUUGGUUUCUGAGUUAAAAUUCUCAGGUUUUUUUAUGGGACGAGAAGACCCUAUAGAGUUUUAACACUUGUUUUUAUUUUAUUUUUUGUUUGUUGUAUUUUUUUUAAUAAAUUUGUCGUGUUUUGUUGGGGUGAUUGGAAGAAUUUGUUUAACUCUUCUUUUCUUUUUUUCAUUUAUUUAUGUUUUUUUGAU
rnacentral:rRNA from 1 species